AGCGCACGAGCCAGCCAGUGACUAGUACACAGUCCCUCUUUCAGGAGCAACAAUCUGCCUACAUGGAGUACACACGCCAGGAGACCAUGGCGUGGCAUCAGAGGCUUUAUGAACACCAAGUGCAGAGGGAUAGCCAGAUGCAGCAGGCUUUUCAGGAUAUGGCGGCCGACAGGUGUCCUCACUUCCCUACAGCACAAUGCCCUCUAGCACAACCAGUGCUGAUGAGCUUUGAGGAGUUUGUGGCACAGAACGCUGGCCCCUCGCCGGGAACAGGUGGAUCUACCGUUGGCGGUGGUCUUCGCAGCACUCCGG